rfam:Triticum aestivum genome assembly, contig: Triticum_aestivum_CS42_TGACv1_scaffold_063445_1DL
UACGUACUCCCUCCGUCCAGAAAUACUUGUCAUCAAAAUAGAUAAAAAAGAUGUAUCUAGAUGUAUUUUAAUUUUAAAUACAUAUUUUUUAUCCAUUUUAAUGACAAAUAUUUUCAAACGAGGGAAUAUUAC